UCCGGUUUUUCACCGGCAGUCCCACUAGAGUGCCCAGCUUGACCUGAUGGCAACUAAUGGCGAGGGUUGCGCUCGUUAUCGGACUUAACCGUACACCUCACGGCACGAGCUGACGACAACCAUGCAGCACCUGUGCAGGAUCUCCGAAGAGGGGCUCUCGUUUCUGAGAGCUUGCUCCUGCAUGUCAAGCCUAGGUAAGGUUCUCCGCGUUGCCUCGAAUUAAACCACACGCUCCGCUGCUUGUGCGGGCCCCCGCCUAUUCCUUUGAGUUUUAACCUUGCGGCCGUAGUCCCCAGGCGGUGAACUUAAUGCGUUAGCUGCGGCACUGAUCGGGUCAAUCCGACCAACACCUAGUUCACAACGUUUAGGGCGUGGACUAC
rnacentral:misc_RNA from 1 species